rnacentral:rRNA from 1 species
CCUACGGGAGGCAGCAGUGGGGAAUAUUGCACAAUGGGGGAAACCCUGAUGCAGCGACGCCGCGUGAGUGAAGAAGUAAUUCGUUAUGUAAAGCUCUAUCCGCAGGGAAGAAAAUGACGGUACCUGAGUAAGAAGCCCCGGCUAACUACGUGCCCGCAGCCGCGGUAAUACGUAGGGGGCAAGCGUUAUCCGGCUUUACUGGGUGUAAAGGGGGCGUAGACGGCAGUGCAAGUCCGGAGUGAACGGCGGGGGCUCAACCCCAGGACUGCUCUGGAAACUGUACGGCUGGAGUGCAGGAGAGGUAAGUGGAAUUCCUGGGGUAGCGGGGAAAUGCGUAGAUAUUAGGAGGAACACCAGUGGCGAAGGCGGCUUACUGGACUGUAACUGACGUUGAGGCUCGAAAGCGUGGGGAGCAAACAGGAUUAGAUACCCUUGUAGUC